GAUGAAGAACGCAGCGAAAUGCGAUAAGUAAUGUGAAUUGCAGAAUUCAGUGAAUCAUCGAAUCUUUGAACGCACAUUGCGCCCGCCAGAAUACUGGCGGGCAUGCCUGUUCGAGCGUCAUUACAACCCUCAGGCCCCCGGGCCUGGCGUUGGGGAUCGGCGGAGCCCCCCGUGGGCACACGCCGUCCCCCAAAUGCAGUGGCGGUCCCGCCGCAGCUUCCAUCGCGUAGUAGCUAACACCUCGCGACUGGAGAGCGGCGCGGCCACGCCGUAAAACACCCAACUCUUCUGAAGUUGACCUCGAAUCAGGUAGGAAUACCCGCUGAACUUAAGCAUAUCAAUAAGCGGAGGA
rnacentral:misc_RNA from 1 species